rnacentral:rRNA from 1 species
AGCGGCAAAAGCUCAAAUUUGAAAUCUGGCACUUUCAGUGUCCGAGUUGUAAUUUGAAGAAGGUAUCUUUGGGUCUGGCUCUUGUCUAUGUUUCUUGGAACAGAACGUCACAGAGGGUGAGAAUCCCGUGCGAUGAGAUGUCCCAGACCUAUGUAAAGUUCCUUCGAAGAGUCGAGUUGUUUGGGAAUGCAGCUCUAAGUGGGUGGUAAAUUCCAUCUAAAGCUAAAUAUUGGCGAGAGACCGAUAGCGAACAAGUACAGUGAUGGAAAGAUGAAAAGAACUUUGAAAAGAGAGUGAAAAAGUACGUGAAAUUGUUGAAAGGGAAGGGCUUGAGAUCAGACUUGGUAUUUUGUAUGUUACUCUCUCGGGGGUGGCCUCUACAGUUUACCGGGCCAGCAUCAGUUUGAGCGGUAGGAUAAGUGCAAAGAAAUGUGGCACUGCUUCGGUAGUGUGUUAUAGUCUUUGUCGAUACUGCCAGCUUAGACUGAGGACUGCGGCUUCGGCCUAGGAUGUUGGCAUAAUGAUCUUAAGUCGCCCGUCUUGAACCACGGACCA